AUGGGCAACUGCAAGAAUUCAUCUCGUGCACUCCUAGGAAAGGUCCAUGUUGAUCCGGACUCAGAAUGGAGGAUGCAGGACUUUGGAAAGACCCAUGUUCCAGAUUUAGAAUGGAGGAUUAAUGACUUCUCAUCGCUGGUUGAGACAGGAGCUAAGUCAGCAACAUCUGACACUUUUCACUGCUCUGGGUAUAACUGGCACCUGGAAGUGAAAUCAAUGCAUAAAAAAGCUGGUUCGGCAAUGCCAUAUGUUGCUCUUCGUCUUGUGGCAUUCCGACCAAGCUUGGUGCCAGGUCACAUGGUGCAUGCGGUGUUUGAGUUGUCAAUAUACAACCAUUCAAGAGGAAUGUACUGUGGUUGCAAAGCUAGCUACAACUUUGAUUUCAAGAAUAUCUUCUCGAAGGAGCAUUGCUUGAUUCCUCUUCAGGAGCUACUGAAAUCAUCUGCUUUUCUAGUUGAUGAUAGCUGUGUCUUCGGUGUGGAGAUAUUAAAAAUUGAUGUCUCUUCUCCUGAAAAGAACGCUGUUGUGGUUCAGAAGAAGCCUACGACAGUUCAGAACCUCUUUGUUCAGAAGAAGGGGUUCGUCAAAGGGACAUACACUUGGAACAUGAACAAUUUCCUUGAACUGGACUUGGAUCACUUUGUCCGUUCUCCUACAUUUGAAGUUGGUGGGCAUAAAUGGUACGUCCGCAUGUAUCCGCGGUGA
rnacentral:rRNA from 1 species